rfam:Callithrix jacchus chromosome 1, whole genome shotgun sequence
GCUGGGUGUGGUGGCUCACACCUGUAAUCCCAGCACUUUGGGAGGCCAAGGUGGGUGAAUCACCUGAGGUCAGGAGUUUGAGACCAACCUGGCCAACAAGGUGAAACCCCAUCUUUA